rnacentral:rRNA from 1 species
GACGAACGCUGGCGGCGUGCCUAAUACAUGCAAGUCGAACGCUUCUUUUUCCACCGGAGCUUGCUCCACCGGAAAAAGAGGAGUGGCGAACGGGUGAGUAACACGUGGGUAACCUGCCCAUCAGAAGGGGAUAACACUUGGAAACAGGUGCUAAUACCGUAUAACAAUCGAAACCGCAUGGUUUUGAUUUGAAAGGCGCUUUCGGGUGUCGCUGAUGGAUGGACCCGCGGUGCAUUAGCUAGUUGGUGAGGUAACGGCUCACCAAGGCCACGAUGCAUAGCCGACCUGAGAGGGUGAUCGGCCACAUUGGGACUGAGACACGGCCCAAACUCCUACGGGAGGCAGCAGUAGGGAAUCUUCGGCAAUGGACGAAAGUCUGACCGAGCAACGCCGCGUGAGUGAAGAAGGUUUUCGGAUCGUAAAACUCUGUUGUUAGAGAAGAACAAGGAUGAGAGUAACUGUUCAUCCCUUGACGGUAUCUAACCAGAAAGCCACGGCUAACUACGUGCCAGCAGCCGCGGUAAUACGUAGGUGGCAAGCGUUGUCCGGAUUUAUUGGGCGUAAAGCGAGCGCAGGCGGUUUCUUAAGUCUGAUGUGAAAGCCCCCGGCUCAACCGGGGAGGGUCAUUGGAAACUGGGAGACUUGAGUGCAGAAGAGGAGAGUGGAAUUCCAUGUGUAGCGGUGAAAUGCGUAGAUAUAUGGAGGAACACCAGUGGCGAAGGCGGCUCUCUGGUCUGUAACUGACGCUGAGGCUCGAAAGCGUGGGGAGCAAACAGGAUUAGAUACCCUGGUAGUCCACGCCGUAAACGAUGAGUGCUAAGUGUUGGAGGGUUUCCGCCCUUCAGUGCUGCAGCUAACGCAUUAAGCACUCCGCCUGGGGAGUACGACCGCAAGGUUGAAACUCAAAGGAAUUGACGGGGGCCCGCACAAGCGGUGGAGCAUGUGGUUUAAUUCGAAGCAACGCGAAGAACCUUACCAGGUCUUGACAUCCUCUGACCACUCUAGAGAUAGAGCUUCCCCUUCGGGGGCAAAGUGACAGGUGGUGCAUGGUUGUCGUCAGCUCGUGUCGUGAGAUGUUGGGUUAAGUCCCGCAACGAGCGCAACCCUUAUUGUUAGUUGCCAUCAUUCAGUUGGGCACUCUAGCAAGACUGCCGGUGACAAACCGGAGGAAGGUGGGGAUGACGUCAAAUCAUCAUGCCCCUUAUGACCUGGGCUACACACGUGCUACAAUGGGAAGUACAACGAGUCGCGAAGUCGCGAGGCUAAGCUAAUCUCUUAAAGCUUCUCUCAGUUCGGAUUGCAGGCUGCAACUCGCCUGCAUGAAGCCGGAAUCGCUAGUAAUCGCGGAUCAGCACGCCGCGGUGAAUACGUUCCCGGGCCUUGUACACACCGCCCGUCACACCACGAGAGUUUGUAACACCCGAAGUCGGUGAGGUAACCUUUUUGGAGCCAGCCGCCUAAGGUGGGAUAGAUGAUUGGGGUG